rnacentral:rRNA from 1 species
UGACGUCAAGUCAUCAUGGCCCUUACGGCCUGGGCUACACACGUGCUACAAUGGUCGGUACAAAGGGUUGCCAAGCCGCGAGGUGGAGCUAAUCCCAUAAAACCGAUCGUAGUCCGGAUCGCAGUCUGCAACUCGACUGCGUGAAGUCGGAAUCGCUAGUAAUCGUGAAUCAGAAUGUCACGGUGAAUACGUUCCCGGGCCUU